CUUGGAGUCUUCACUGAUGAGCUGAUGAGUUGAAUCAGGAUUGUUUGCAGAUAACGCUGUACUUCUCCAUCAUGCACAAGGACUCACCUCUUUAACUCUUUAUCCCCCACACACACAGAAAUGGUCCCUGGAUCAGUGUUUAGACUUUGCAGUGGUUUGAUUUUUGCAGAAAAUGCAACUUUGUUUUAGUUAUAAGCUUAUAAUGAAUACAUUUUGACCUUCCAGCAGCCCAUAUACUGUAUACAGAACCAGUGAUGAAAACAAUAGUUGAAAAUAGUAUUUUCGUAUUGAUAAAGCAUUGUGUUCUCUUUUUCAAGCUUCAUACAGUAAACUUUACUUCUGGUGCUUUUAUCAUAAAAAAGCAUCAGUUCUCAUCAGGAGUUUUAGUAAAGGACAUAUUCAUGCACAGCCAUCCCCUAGUUCCAGUCAUGAAGUGAAUGAUGUUAUUGUCAGAGUUAUAUUUCUGCAUUUUUAUGUAGCAGGUGUUUGUUUUCCUGAACACUUUAUUUUUCUUCCAUUGUUCGGACAAUCAAUGUUUAUUUGAUGCUGUGCUGAUAGAGUUUUAUAGAUAAUAUUGCACACUUGAC
ensembl:lncRNA